rnacentral:rRNA from 1 species
UACGGGGGGAGCAAGCGUUGUUCGGAUUUACUGGGCGUAAAGGGCGCGUAGGCGGUCAGCACAAGUCAGUUGUGAAAUCUCCGGGCUUAACUCGGAAAGGUCAACUGAUACUGUGCGACUAGAGUGCAGAAGGGGCAACUGGAAUUCUCGGUGUAGCGGUGAAAUGCGUAGAUAUCGAGAGGAACACCUGCGGCGAAAGGCGGGUUGCUGGGCUGAC